rnacentral:lncRNA from 1 species
GUUAACUCCAUCCCCCACCCACAGCCGGGUCUUGGUAGGGAGAGGGUGAAAUGAUGGACUAGGAGAGAUUUGGGUUCCUUGGACAGAUCUUGCCUUUUCCAGCAAGGUUGGGUUACAUGCCCUCUCUCUCUCAGCUCCUGGAAUUCCCCCUUGGCUUGCUACUGUUCUGAGAUGAAGUAAACUGGGUGAUUCUAAGAAUGGGCCUUGAGUCUGGCAAACCCAUCUGUUUCUUCCUAGCUAUGGGCCCCUGGCCCUCACCUCCCGCUUCUCAGUUUCUUCACCUGGAAAAUGAAGAUGACUAAGGAACCUGGGCCUUGGAAGGUUCUGGGAAUUCAGUGGAGUCAGGCACGUUCUUCAUUUGUGUAUUAUCUACGGCCCAGUUCUUGCUGCAGCAGCGGAAUCGAGAAGCUGCGGGAGAGACCCCGCAGCCUGCAAAGCUGAAAAUAUUUACUUCCUGGCCAUUCACAGAAAAUGUUUGCCAACCCAUGACCUAAAGCAUCAUCUCUCAGAGGGUUGGGAAGGAACCUGGAAGCUGUCCCAUUCAGAGGCGGGAGCUUCAACGGGACCCUGCGUCUUCUGCCUCCAAGGCCUGUGGUAGGGGCUGUCACAGGCUGCAGAGGAGUCCAGGAGGGAGAUGCUACAGGUAAGGCAGGAGGAUGGAGAAGAGAGAACAGACUUGAACUAGACUUAGGGUCACACCAGCAGCUGUGAGCAGCUGACGAGUGUUCCAGUGCAAGGAGAGGAGGGUGCAAGAGCCAGGGAUUAUACACUGAUUAGCCUCCAUCACCGCAGAAAUUAUCUUGCCUGUGCAUGGUGCGAGGGUCUGGAACAUACAUUUAACCAAGGCAAGGAGCGAAGUGAGAGGAAGCAAUAUUGUGGAUUGCAGGAGGUGAUGGAUGAGAUGAGAGAAGAAUCUGCAUGGUCAGAAUCUGUUUGGCAUCGGAAGGGAAGUACCCAGGAAAUUUGAGGAUCGCCUCGUCCAGUUGUCUGUGGAACUGAACUGUGAGUUGUCCAUGAGGGAUGAAUGGCAAUGCCAAUGUUUCCAGAGUUUCUGUCAUGAGGUCUCCUGGCUUGGAGAUGGAGAGGGCACACACAGGUUUCGGAUUCAAGCCUGCAGGACAGUCCUGGCUGCACCACUCAGGAACCCUGGGUGAGUCUCUUUACCCCUCACAGCCUCAGUUUUCCCUUCCUGGAAAUGGGACCACAAUCCAAACCUUGUAGAACUGCUUCAAAGAUGAAAGGAGACAUCGCAUGUGAGAUGCCGGCCCAUAGGAGCCAGGGCACGAAAGGCAGCUCCGCAUUGGGUCCCCAAAAAGUCUCCGCAGGUUGGCAGCCAAGAGAGCUACCAUUUCUUUGUUUGGAGAGAUUCCACUCCCUGGAAAGGGUAAUCCUGCAGGAAAGGAGGAGGGAGUCGUUCCAGAGUUUGGGAGAUGUCGGCUUUGACUCUGAGUGAUGCCGCCUCAAACACUUACUGUCAUACAGGAAGUUACUCAAACACAAUCAAUUAGACACCCAUAUUAGCAUAUUUGUCAUUGUAAUACAGCCGCAGAGAGGAGAUGCUGGAGACUGUUUAUUGCUGUUCUGAGCUAAUAUUUAUUAAAGUGAUUAAUAUGUUUUUCAAAUAUCUGUGACAGGCGUGGCAGGAAUUACUGAUCUCCUCCCUCGAGAGCCUGAAAGGGUGAGGGGUGGGAGUCACUUAGAGAGGGGCGGCAGGUAGGGGCCUUGGGGCCUCAGGGGACCGUGUCCUCCUCUGGGGCCCCUUUCCUGCUCGGGCCUCCUGCCUUCCAUCUUCCCCUGUCUCCUCCACCUUCAACUUCCCCUGUCUCCUCUCCUCCACCUUCAACUUCCCCCUCUACUGACCGUUCCCAUCGGCAUUCUGAGACAUCUCCCACCAUGACAAAUAGAGACCUCCCAGGAUGCCCUGUCCCCCUGCUCCUUCCUGGACCCCCUCAUCCCCAGCCAUUCUGCCAUCUUCCUCCUUCCCUCCAUAGCCAAACUCUUCAAAAGAACUCUUUUCCCUCCCUACCUCCUUUGCUCAUCUUCCAGUCUCUGCUUUUUAAAAAUCAUUACAAAAAAUUAAAAGUGGCUGGGCGCGGUGGCUCACACCUGUAAUCCCAGUACUUUUGGAGGCCAAGGCGGGAGGGAAUAACCUGAGGUCAGGAGUUCGAGACCAGCCUGGCCAACAUGGUGAAACCCUGUCUCUAUUAAAAAUACAAAAAUUAGCAGGGUGUGGUAGCUGGUG